GACGAACGCUGGCGGCGUGCUUAACACAUGCAAGUCGAACGGAAAGGCCCUGCUUUUGUGGGGUGCUCGAGUGGCGAACGGGUGAGUAACACGUGAGUAACCUGCCCUUGACUUAGGGAUAACUUCAGGAAACUGGGGCUAAUACCGGAUAGGAGCUCCUGCUGCAUGGUGGGGGUUGGAAAGUUUCGGCGGUUGGGGAUGGACUCGCGGCUUAUCAGCUUGUUGGUGGGGUAGUGGCUUACCAAGGCUUUGACGGGUAGCCGGCCUGAGAGGGUGACCGGCCACAUUGGGACUGAGAUACGGCCCAGACUCCUACGGGAGGCAGCAGUGGGGAAUAUUGCACAAUGGGCGGAAGCCUGAUGCAGCAACGCCGCGUGCGGGAUGACGGCCUUCGGGUUGUAAACCGCUUUCGCCUGUGACGAAGCGUGAGUGGCGGUAAUGGGUAAAGAAGCACCGGCUAACUACGUG
rnacentral:rRNA from 1 species